UACGUAGGGUGCAAGCGUUUGUCCGGAAUUAUUGGGCGUAAAGAGCUCGUAGGCGGCCAACUAAGUCGGACGUGAAAUCCCCAGGCUCAACCUGGGAACUGCGUCCGAUACUGGAUGGCUUGAAUUCGGGAGAGGGAUGCAGAAUUCCAGGUGUAGCGGUGAAAUGCGUAGAUAUCUGGAGGAAUACCGGUGGCGAAGGCGGCAUCCUGGACCGACAUUGACGCUGAGGAGCGAAAGCUAGGGGAGCAAACGGG
rnacentral:rRNA from 1 species